GAUGAAGAACGCAGUGAAAUGCGAUAAGUAAUGUGAAUUGCAGAAUUCAGUGAAUCAUCGAAUCUUUGAACGCACAUUGCGCCCCCCAGUAUUCUGGCGGGCAUGCCUGUUCGAGCGUCAUUUCAACCAUCAAGCCCUGCUUGUGUUGGGGUCCUGCGGCUGCCCGCAGGCCCUGAAAACCAGUGGCGGGCUCACUAGUCACACCGAGCGCAGUAGCACAUCUCGCUCAGGGCGUGCGGCGGGCUCCAGCCGUUAAAGCACCCACCUUUCGCAAGGUUGACCUCGGAUCAGGUAGGAAUACCCGCUGAACUUAAGCAUAUCAAUAAGCGGAGGA
rnacentral:misc_RNA from 1 species